rnacentral:rRNA from 1 species
GACGAACGCUGGCGGCGUGCCUAAUACAUGCAAGUAGAACGCACAGUUUAUACCUUAGCUUGCUACACCAUAAACUGUGAGUUGCGAACGGGUGAGUAACGCGUAGGUAACCUGCCUGGUAGCGGGGGAUAACUAUUGGAAACGAUAGCUAAUACCGCAUAAUAUUGAUUAUUGCAUGAUAAUUGAUUGAAAGAUGCUAUUGCAUCACUACCAGAUGGACCUGCGUUGUAUUAGCUAGUAGGUGAGGUAACGGCUCACCUAGGCGACGAUACAUAGCCGACCUGAGAGGGUGAUCGGCCACACUGGGACUGAGACACGGCCCAGACUCCGACGGGAGGCAGCAGUAGGGAAUCUUCAGCAAUGGACGAAAGUCUGACCGAGCAACGCCGCGUGAGUGAAGAAGGUUUUCGGAUCGUAAAGCUCUGUUGUAAGAGAAGAACGGGUGUGAGAGUGGAAAGUUCACACUGUGACGGUAUCUUACCAGAAAGGGACGGCUAACUACGUG